CAACGACCUCACUUUCUCCUCCUCUUCCUUUUCAGGUGGCAUUUCUCCGUGUAUCCUCAUAGCCCGCAAAACCCUCUACUUUUUUGGUUGCAGAAAGAUUGUGUAAGUUGAUUAGUAAUCCCUAGAAAACAAGAAAAGAUAAGAACCUGAAUGAUUUCAAUAUUUCUUUUCGAGUAUCUUCGUGUGUUUUUUGUUUUGCGUUUCUCUCUGUUUAUCACUGUCAGGAUACAGAGAGAGGGGUGGCGCUGGGUGUCGGUACAGUGCGUGUUUCUUGCAGGGUAUAGAUUGGUCGUUGCUA